rnacentral:rRNA from 1 species
UACGUAGGGGGCAAGCGUUGUCCGGAUUUAUUGGGCGUAAAGAGCGUGUAGGCGGCCAGACAGGUCAGCUGUGAAAACUCGAGGCUCAACCUCGAGACGUCGGUUGAAACCGUCUGGCUAGAGUCCGGAAGAGGGAGAGUGGAAUUCCCGGUGUAGCGGUGAAAUGCGCAGAUAUCAGGAGGAACACCGAUUGCGAAGGCAGCUCGCUGGGACGUGACUGACGCUGAGACGCGAAAGCGUGGGGAGCAAACAGG